AUUGAACGCUGGCGGCAUGCUUUGCACAUGCAAGUCGAACGGUAGCAGGUUAAGCUGACGAGUGGCGAACGGGUGAGUAAUGCAUCGGAACGUGCCCGGUCGUGGGGGAUAACGCAGCGAAAGCUGCGCUAAUACCGCAUACGAUCUAAGGAUGAAAGCGGGGGAUCGCAAGACCUAGCGCGAUUGGAGCGGCCGAUAUCAGAUUAGGUAGUUGGUGGGGUAAAGGCUCACCAAGCCAACGAUCUGUAGCUGGUCUGAGAGGACGACCAGCCACACUGGAACUGAGACACGGUCCAGACUCCUACGGGAGGCAGCAGUGGGGAAUUUUGGACAAUGGACGCAAGUCUGAUCCAGCCAUUCCGCGUGCAGGAUGAAGGCCCUCGGGUUGUAAACUGCUUUUGUACAGAACGAAAAGGUUUCUACUAAUACUAGGAGCUCAUGACGGUACUGUAAGAAUAAGCACCGGCUAACUACGUGCCAGCAGCCGCGGUAA
rnacentral:rRNA from 1 species